GACGAACGCUGGCGGCGUGCCUAAUACAUGCAAGUCGAACGAGAGCGACCGGUGCUUGCACUGGUCAAUCUAGUGGCGAACGGGUGAGUAACACGUGGGUAACCUGCCCAUCAGAGGGGGAUAACAUCCGGAAACGGAUGCUAAAACCGCAUAGGUCUUCGAGCCGCAUGGCUUGAAGAGGAAAAGAGGCGCAAGCUUCUGCUGAUGGAUGGACCCGCGGUGCAUUAGCUAGUUGGUGAGGUAACGGCUCACCAAGGCCGUGAUGCAUAGCCGACCUGUGAGGGUGAUAGGCCACAUUGGGACUGAGACACGGCCCAAACUCCUACGGGAGGCAGCAGUAGGGAAUCUUCCGCAAUGGACGCAAGUCUGACGGAGCAACGCCGCGUGAGUGAAGAAGGUUUUCGGAUCGUAAAACUCUGUUGUUAGAGAAGAACAAGUGCUAGAGUAACUGUUAGCGCCUUGACGGUAUCUAACCAGAAAGCCACGGCUAACUACGUG
rnacentral:rRNA from 1 species